rnacentral:rRNA from 1 species
UACGUAGGGGGCAAGCGUUGUCCGGAAUCAUUGGGCGUAAAGCGCGCGUAGGCGGCCUCGUAAGUCUGCUGUGAAAGUCAAGGGCUCAACCCUUGGAUGCCGGUGGAUACUGCGAGGCUAGAGUCCGGAAGAGGCGAGUGGAACUCCUGGUGUAGCGGUGGAAUGCGCAGAUAUCAGGAAGAACACCGACGGCGAAGGCAGCUCGCUGGGACGGUACUGACGCUGAGGCGCGAAAGCGUGGGGAGCGAACAGG